GGAGAUCUAAUUCUCGUCUGGUUGAUUUGAUUUUGGUAGGAAUCGUCGUGGAGAUUCUGGUGUCAGUGAGCGGUUAGGAUUAUGCUGCAACAAGGAGGAUCGGUUUAGCAUGGGAUUUUGAACAACAGAAGGCAGAAGGCAGGUCUUGACUAAGGUUUACAUAUUUGGGGCUAGUGCUUUUUCAGGAUGAGGAGUGGCUCGAGCUGUUAGUGAGUUUGUAGUUGGCAAUCCGGUCAAGUGAGAUCUUACACAUUUGAUUCCAUGUUAGCAUUAUGUUGCUGGUUCUAUUUUAUAUUUGAAUGUUGU